GGAGUCGCUAGUAAUCGCGGAUCAGCAACGCCGCGGUGAAUACGUUCCCGGGCCUUGUACACACCGCCCGUCAAGCCAUGGAAGCCGGGAGUGCCUGAAGUGCGUGAGCGCAAGCAGCGCCCUAAGGUAAAACCGGUGACUGGGGCUAAGUCGUAACAAGGUACC
rnacentral:rRNA from 1 species